GUAGACAUCACGGGCUAUUUACCUAAGGUUGUUUUGACACUUUCUAUGUAGCCAUUUCACCGCCAACCUCUGCUAAAUAUUGGAGUAAAAUUGUGGGUUUUUUUGGUUUUUUGCACACAAACUUAUAACAAAGAAAUUCUCGUGUAUAUUUUGUAAAGUUGGUGUGUGCUAUUCCUGUACAAAGUUUUAUUUUGUGUUCAG